CUAAUUCCCAAAUCCUCACUUCCUCUGCCGACUCCUGCCGAUUCCCAACUCCCAAACUCCAAAUUCCCACUUCCGCCGGCUCCAUCUCCACCAGCUCCACCCAGCUUUUGCAGGGGCUUGAAGCAGAUACAUUGACUGGGGAACCCAUCUUGAGGCUGAUAUUGAUGGAAAUGGAGUUCUGGACUAUGGAGAGUUUGUAGCAGUGACGAUACACUUGCAGAG